AUGCAAGUCGUACGCUUCUUUUUCCACCGGAGCUUGCUCCACCGGAAAAAGAAGAGUGGCGAACGGGUGAGUAACACGUGGGUAACCUGCCCAUCAGAAGGGGAUAACACUUGGAAACAGGUGCUAAUACCGUAUAACAAUCGAAACCGCAUGGUUUUGAUUUGAAAGGCGCUUUCGGGUGUCGCUGAUGGAUGGACCCGCGGUGCAUUAGCUAGUUGGUGAGGUAACGGCUCACCAAGGCCACGAUGCAUAGCCGACCUGAGAGGGUGAUCGGCCACAUUGGGACUGAGACACGGCCCAAACUCCUACGGGAGGCAGCAGUAGGGAAUCUUCGGCAAUGGACGAAAGUCUGACCGAGCAACGCCGCGUGAGUGAAGAAGGUUUUCGGAUCGUAAAACUCUGUUGUUAGAGAAGAACAAGGAUGAGAGUAACUGUUCAUCCCUUGACGGUAUCUAACCAGAAAGCCACGGCUAACUACGUGCCAGCAGCCGCGGUAAUACGUAGGUGGCAAGCGUUGUCCGGAUUUAUUGGGCGUAAAGCGAGCGCAGGCGGUUUCUUAAGUCUGAUGUGAAAGCCCCCGGCUCAACCGGGGAGGGUCAUUGGAAACUGGGAGACUUGAGUGCAGAAGAGGAGAGUGGAAUUCCAUGUGUAGCGGUGAAAUGCGUAGAUAUAUGGAGGAACACCAGUGGCGAAGGCGGCUCUCUGGUCUGUAACUGACGCUGAGGCUCGAAAGCGUGGGGAGCAAACAGGAUUAGAUACCCUGGUAGUCCACGCCGUAAACGAUGAGUGCUAAGUGUUGGAGGGUUUCCGCCCUUCAGUGCUGCAGCUAACGCAUUAAGCACUCCGCCUGGGGAGUACGACCGCAAGGUUGAAACUCAAAGGAAUUGACGGGGGCCCGCACAAGCGGUGGAGCAUGUGGUUUAAUUCGAAGCAACGCGAAGAACCUUACCAGGUCUUGACAUCCUUUGACCACUCUAGAGAUAGAGCUUCCCCUUCGGGGGCAAAGUGACAGGUGGUGCAUGGUUGUCGUCAGCUCGUGUCGUGAGAUGUUGGGUUAAGUCCCGCAACGAGCGCAACCCUUAUUGUUAGUUGCCAUCAUUUAGUUGGGCACUCUAGCAAGACUGCCGGUGACAAACCGGAGGAAGGUGGGGAUGACGUCAAAUCAUCAUGCCCCUUAUGACCUGGGCUACACACGUGCUACAAUGGGAAGUACAACGAGUCGCGAAGUCGCGAGGCUAAGCUAAUCUCUUAAAGCUUCUCUCAGUUCGGAUUGUAGGCUGCAACUCGCCUACAUGAAGCCGGAAUCGCUAGUAAUCGCGGAUCAGCACGCCGCGGUGAAUACGUUCCCGGGCCUUGUACACACCGCCCGUCACACCACGAGAGUUUGUAACACCCGAAGUCGGUGAGGUAACCUUUUGGAGCCAGCCGCGUAA
rnacentral:rRNA from 1 species